rnacentral:rRNA from 1 species
AUUGAACGCUGGCGGCAGGCCUAACACAUGCGAGUCGAACGGUAACAGGAAACAGCUUGCUGUUUCGCUGACGAGUGGCGGACGGGUGUGUAAUGUCUGGGAAACUGCUUGAUGGAGGGGGAUAACUACUGGAAACGGUAGCUAAUACCGCAUAACGUCGCAAGACCAAAGAGGGGGACCUUCGGGCCUUCUGCCAUCGGAUUUGCCCAGAUGGGAUUAGCUAGUAGGUGGGGUAACGGCUCACCUAGGCGACGAUCCCUAGCUGGUCUGAGAGGGUGACCAGCCACACUGGAACUGAGACACGGUCCAGACUCCUACGGGAGGCAGCAGUGGGGAAUAUUGCACAAUGGGCGAAAGCCUGAUGCAGCCAUGCCGCGUGUAUGAAGAAGGCCUUCGGGUUGUAAAGUACUUUCAGCGGGGAUGAAGGGAGUAAUGUUAAUACCUUUGCUCAUUGACGGUACCCGCAGAAGAAGCACCGGCUAACUCCGUG